AUUGAACGCUGGCGGCAUGCUUUACACAUGCAAGUCGAACGGUAACAGGGUGCUUGCACCGCUGACGAGUGGCGAACGGGUGAGUAAUGCGUCGGAACGUGCCGAGUAGUGGGGGAUAACGCAGCGAGAGUUGUGCUAAUACCGCAUACGUACUGAGGUAGAAAGUGGGGGACCUUCGGGCCUCACGCUAUUCGAGCGGCCGACGUCUGAUUAGCUAGUAGGUGAGGUAAGAGCUCACCUAGGCGACGAUCAGUAGCGGGUCUGAGAGGAUGAUCCGCCACACUGGGACUGAGACACGGCCCAGACUCCUACGGGAGGCAGCAGUGGGGAAUUUUGGACAAUGGGCGCAAGCCUGAUUCAGCCAUGCCGCGUGUCUGAAGAAGGCCUUCGGGUUGUAAAGGACUUUUGUCAGGGAGGAAAUCCUAGUGGCUAAUAACUGCUAGGGAUGACAGUACCUGAAGAAUAAGCACCGGCUAACUACGUGCCAGCCGCCGCGGUAAAAC
rnacentral:rRNA from 1 species